rnacentral:rRNA from 1 species
UUUAUGGAGAGUUUGAUCCUGGCUCAGGACGAACGCUGGCGGCGUGCUUAACACAUGCAAGUCGAACGGUGAUGUCAGAGCUUGCUCUGGCGGAUCAGUGGCGAACGGGUGAGUAACACGUGAGUAACCUGCCCCCGACUCUGGGAUAACUGCUAGAAAUGGUAGCUAAUACCGGAUAUGACGAUUGGCCGCAUGGUCUGGUCGUGGAAAGAAUUUCGGUUGGGGAUGGACUCGCGGCCUAUCAGGUUGUUGGUGAGGUAAUGGCUCACCAAGCCUACGACGGGUAGCCGGCCUGAGAGGGUGACCGGCCACACUGGGACUGAGACACGGCCCAGACUCCUACGGGAGGCAGCAGUGGGGAAUAUUGCACAAUGGGCGAAAGCCUGAUGCAGCAACGCCGCGUGAGGGAUGACGGCCUUCGGGUUGUAAACCUCUUUU